UACGGGGGGGGCAAGCGUUGUUCGGAAUUACUGGGCGUAAAGGGCUCGUAGGCGGCCAACUAAGUCAGACGUGAAAUCCCUCGGCUUAACCGGGGAACUGCGUCUGAUACUGGAUGGCUUGAGUUCGGGAGAGGGAUGCGGAAUUCCAGGUGUAGCGGUGAAAUGCGUAGAUAUCUGGAGGAACACCGGUGGCGAAGGCAGCUUGCUGGGACGGUACUGACGCUGAGGCGCGAAAGCGUGGGGAGCAAACAGG
rnacentral:rRNA from 1 species